rnacentral:lncRNA from 1 species
CCAGCAUCGGAGACCAAAGUCUCAUUCAGGGAGAUGAAUUCCCCAGGAGUGAGUCUGUCAUCUGAAGCACCAAGCAGUAGAAGAGAGAGAGAUGAGACCAAGAAGAUUACAACGUACGGUGGUAGCAUCACCAUCAGUCUGCAGCUUCUUUUUGUGAACCUUUGUGCAUUUGAGCUUCUUGCAAGUAGAUAGCUAGGAUUUCUUCUUUUCGCUUUCUUUCCUCUCUAUGAAGGGACUUGAAACUGCUUGCAGAUUUUUAACUCCGUACUUGCCCUGUUUUGUCCACACAUGCUAAAGAAGAAUCCAAACAGUUAGACUGGUCUCAGAACAUCAAACCACAGGAUUGGCAUCUUCGUUCUGCAAGAAUCUCAAUAUCUGACCAUCAGAUUGUCACAAGAAGACAGUGCAAGAAGAGUGCAUGACAAGCAAAAUGACCCCUGCACCAUGUCCUCACUUUGAUCA